CGCGCCUCCCCGCUCGCCACGCCUCCUCACUCGCUCCGCCCCCCGCCCCCGAGCCAAUGGGGAAGCCCCAGACAUCCGCGUCAGGCGUGGCGGUGCCACCGUGUGGAGCGAGUGAAAGGGGCUGCAGGUUCAGACCGGCGUGAGGGGCGUGCCUGAGGCGGAUAACCGGGAUGCUGGCGCCUCGUGGGCGUCCACGACGACCCGGUUCCCCGCUGCCAAGUGCGCCCGGGGCUGUCCCCGCCAGGCCUCGUCCCUCCUGGGCGGGGGCGGCCGGUCAAACUCGCGCCGCGUCGGGCGCUCGGCCGGCGGAGGACGGUUUGUGCCGCCCUGGCCCACGAGGCUCUGGCGUCUUGGCAUCGCUUCUGUAGGGAGCCCGGACGGGACCGCUUAUGUGGGGCUCCGCGGAGGCUCUCGGAGGACGGCGGGCAGGGCCGCUCCCAGGGGAGACGCGCCCUGAGCCCGGGCAUGGGUCCCGGACAGCCUUCCGGGCGGCGGCGCGGCCCUGGCCCGCCGUGUCCGCUGAGGCCUGCGGGGCGCUGUCCUCGAGGGCCGGGGCGCGGGGCUCGCGGGCUGCACACUGCUUCUCGGUCCCUCCAUCCCCUCUGUCUCCGCUACCCAGCGGCGGGGGGCAGCCCUGGCGGCUGUCUCAGGCUCAGAGAGGCUGCCUGCUGUGCACACUGCGUGUGUCUGGGCUCCCUGCUCUCAGAGGUACAUGGGGUUUGAUGACUCUUUACCAGAACUCCUGUCCUUCCCUGGGUCCCUGGCCCAUAGGAUGGGAACGAGUACAGCAGUGUCUGAAAAUUAAGUUAGACAUUUUUCAUGCUGGUAGAUAUUUAGGGUGAAUAUUAAACAUGUACACAGAUGAAAAUAUUUAUCAAAAAAGCCAUAUACAUAAAGUGGGAGGAUGUACUAGGUGGAGUCAUAUAAUUAAAUGACAAGGUUCUUAGUUUGAGACUUCAGAAUGUUCUGUUGUAUACUUUUUAAGCAAAUAGCAGACUUUGUUGGAAAGACACAUUUCUCUUAUGGAGCUCAGUAUCCGGAACAAUAUAGUUGGUCCUGCAAGGAGCUAAAUGAGAACUGGAAAGUCAUUAGGUUCCAGGGCAGUACCGUCCCACACUUUUGGGGUCUUCCUCAUACUUUCCUAUGCAUUUAUGUCAUUUUCUCUUUGCAAACUGCCUGUCUAGCUGCUGUUGGCUUGCGGGGCAGAUAUUCUCCUCUGUACCUAGCUCCUUGUUUCAAGAACUAAAAGAGACUCCAUUCUCUAUCUAACUGUGAACUGUAUCUGAAAUUUUCCACGAAGUCAUAAAGUUAGAAGUAUUGUAGCUAAGAUGACUACAGCUUUGUUUCCGCUUAGUUGCUGUUUCUCAAGGAAGAGGCGAACAAUUGCCACUGUUGGAUAAUUCUGUAUAUGAAUGUGUUGUGAGCACAUUUCACAAUACCAAGUGUUAGAAAGUGCCCUUAAACCUUUAGUCUUCCUAGGCUACGUCUGGGAGACUCAGAAACAGAAACUUUUAUGGUUUCAACAGGCAGUGUUGCUUUUUUUUGGCUUCUCCUGGCAGUGUACUAUGUAAUGUGGCCACAGAGCUAUCAACGUACAGAUUAUAUCUAAUUAUAAAAUGUCAUAAGAAAAAGGAACAAACUGUUGACAUAUGCAAUGAUUUGGAUGGAGCUUAAGGCAUUGUACUGAGUGAAAAAAGCCAAUCUUCAAAGGCUGUGUGAUUGAUUCCAUUUAUACAGCAUUCUCAAAAUGACAACAUUAUAGAAAUUGAGAAGAGAUCCAUUUUUCCGUGGUCACAACUGGGGGUGGAGGGGGUGUGACUCUAAAGGGGUUGCAUGAGGGAAUUUCUCUGGGGUGAUAGAACAGUUCUGUGUCCUGAUUGUUGUCGUGGUUACAUGGAUUUUUAUGCAUGAAAAAACAUCAUAGAACUCUACACACAUCUAGGGAAUUUCAGUUCAAACUGGAAUUCUACUAAGUAGUUGAAUGGCUAAUGCUGUAUCCAUGUCAGUUUCCUGGUUUUGAUCACUGUGUUGUGCUCAUCCAUUGUAUGCCUCUACCACAUUUUAUUGAACCAUUCACCCAUUGAAGGACAUGUGGGUUGUUUCUAGUUUUUGACUGUUACAAAUAAAGCUGCUCUGAACACUCACAUACGGGUUUUUGUGUGCAUCUAUGUUUUCAUUUUUUAGUGUAAAUGCCCAGGAGUGCAACUGGUGUUUUCUACAUGGUUUUGGAAGAGUUGGACAUCCGUAGGCAAAAGGAAAAGAAAAAAAGUGGACCAAGGUGUAAACCUCAUGUCUUCUGCAAAAAUUAAUGUUAAAUGGAUUCAUUGGAUCAUCUUUUUUGUCUUCAUCCAAAACCAGUUGGUUUACACUGCAAACAGCAUUCCAAAAUGAAGAUGGGAGGAAACGAGUGAGCAUUUAGCUCCUGAGCCAAGCAGCAAGUUCCUGCCUACUUCCUCAUCGCCUGAGCAACCAGAGGCCACCACAGGCCUAGAGGACCCCUCUUCCUUCCCCAGAGGAGCUCUCCAGCCCCACACCUCCACUGCCGAAUUAUCACUUGGGAGCUGGAAAGCCAAGGAGUGCAAUUCUGCUUUUCAGGCAAUCAUGCUGAUCACAAAGAUUAUACCAAUAAUCCAGUCUGAUGCAGCCCUCAGACAGGCCCUGGUCUUGUGAAAUUCACAGAAAAUUCUAAUCAAAGGCCUGGGGAGGAUGGGGCAGCCACCAGCGUGGAAGCUGUCUGCACCUACCACCCUGACCCCAUGGCGUGUGAUGGAGAGUAUGACAGAGACAUCAGGUGACAGCAGCAUUCCAGGGAGCUUAACAAGCUGACUCACCGUGUCACCCGGAGGGGCCUCUACUCCCUGCUCAGGGACAGCCUUUUUGUCAGUGGACCUCUAAAACAUGCUGCCCCUGCCACUCAUUUGCCACCGAGGUCCGCCAACCAGACCAGACCUUGCUGACAAAUGCCCUGGCUGGACCCAUUCUGAGCACACCUGGAAGACUCUCCCUAAAUCCCACUCUGUCACGGCGCUCUUCCACCUACAACCAGCCAGGGAGACAUUCCCUCCAAGGCUCACACUGUGUGUGCCCAGUUCUGGG
ensembl:lncRNA